GCGAAGGUACAACAACAACCUACGUGAAGCAGUUACAGGAGCAUCCAGCAAGGAGCGCAAGAGGUUCACGAACAUAGUGGAUAUCCGAUGAAUUCCCCUUUUGAAAAGCUGCGAUUACAAUAAUUAUCUCAAGACAAAUGCGAGCGCACGGACAGCGCCCUGACGGGCAGCAGGGUCUUGACGCUGGCCGUGUGGUCCGUGGCGUGCCGUAUCGACGCGCACUUGAGGCACUUGCCGCUGCCCGCGUCGCCGCUCCGGGGGGGCCGGCACUUGCAGAGGAAGAGGCGGCGCGGCACGCUCGACCCGUUUAUGCCCACCAUUUCUGUACGGGAGAAUAAAGGGUGUUAUGGGUGAUGUAGGUGGUAUUUUAUUAGUUAUGUGUAAGUAAUUGUAAUAAGGUCCAGUAUAAAGUGUGGGCCAACGGAAAACCGGAAAUACAAAAAGUUUCAGGAAUUCGAAAUAAGCACAUUUUUUAUCAAACGUAGUUUUUUAUAUUUACACGAGUUUCCCCUACGUGUACGAAAUAAAUUAUAUAUUUUUACAGUUCA